rnacentral:rRNA from 1 species
UACGUAGGGGGCUAGCGUUGUCCGGAAUCAUUGGGCGUAAAGAGCGUGUAGGCGGUCCGGUAAGUCCGCUGUGAAAGUCGGGGGCUCAACGCUCGAAUGCCGGUGGAUACUGUCGGGCUAGAGUGCGGAAGAGGCGAGUGGAAUUCCUGGUGUAGCGGUGAAAUGCGCUGAUAUCAGGAGGAACACCUAUUGCGAAGGCAGCUCGCUGGGACGUAACUGACGCUGAGACGCGAAAGCGUGGGGAGCAAACAGG